CAGCAGCCGCCGCGGUAAUACGUAGGUGGCAAGCGUUGUCCGGAAUUAUUGGGCGUAAAGGGCUCGCAGGCGGUUUCUUAAGUCUGAUGUGAAAGCCCCCGGCUCAACCGGGGAGGGUCAUUGGAAACUGGGAAACUUGAGUGCAGAAGAGGAGAGUGGAAUUCCACGUGUAGCGGUGAAAUGCGUAGAGAUGUGGAGGAACACCAGUGGCGAAGGCGACUCUCUGGUCUGUAACUGACGCUGAGGAGCGAAAGCGUGGGGAGCGAACAGGAUUAGAUACCCCCGUAGUCCCUGUCUCUUAUAC
rnacentral:rRNA from 1 species